GCAACAACAGUACGAUCUGAUCAUUUGCGUGGAACAGAAUUAAAAAGAAACGACAUUAAUACAUUUGAUAAUUUUUUUUAAUUUUAUGGAAUUUUCUUGUUUAUAUAAUAACUCGUUCGAUUUUAUUUUAUUCUUUACCUUCCACAUCUCACAGAUGCCUCAACGAGCCUGCAAAUUAAAAUAGCACUUUGAGUUAACCUUUGAAGCAAUUUUUAAAAGUCGCGCCAUUAAUAAAUUUUCAUUCCUAUAUAUUAACCUUGAUCAUGGAUAUUAAAGAGUUACGUAAUCGAAAUUGCGAUAUUGAACAUCUGCAUAGUGCGAGUCCAGACCUUGGACAACUAAAUAAAUUCACGAAAUCAUCUCAUCUACUCUUGUAUGAUCUUUUUUUUAUUCCUCCAUUUUCUAUAGAAUUUAUCUUGCUGACGCAUCUUCGCCGCGGUCUGUGCAUUAUGGAUGGCUCGCGUGUCCUCAACCCCACUUUUUCUACUCUGCGUGUUUUUAUUUCAUCCCCACUUCUCUGCCUCUCUAUAUAUCCCUGUAGCAGCGAGCUGCGUAUCUCCGUGGUCGUCCGUACCUUCUAAUUCCUAUUACACUUUGUACCAUUGACAAGCGUGCACAAGAAAGCUAGUUAACCGUGAAAACGUUCGAAAGCAGUGAUGAGACAGUUUAUUAACGUAGAUUGUUAUUCGUAUCUCCGGUAUGAAUAUGACAGAUACGUAUUUGUAUGACAGAAUAUAUCGAAGGUUAUGUUCAGAUCUUUCGCUGCGAUUCAUAUGUAUUAAAUCAAAUUGAUUUUAGGUUAUGUUUACUACGAUGCAAUCGUCACGAAACAACGAAUACGAUACGAACAGAAACAGAGCAUCGUGUUAAAACCACGAAGAUUCUUCCUCACAAGUAGGUUCCUGAAUUGAAUUAUAAAUGUGACCCGAUCGCUCCAAAUGAGCUGUGGAAUUUUAACGAAGCUUUUAGAAGAUAAAAAUCGAAUGUCUCGUAUUUCGAAUGCAACAAUGCGCAUCGAUACGAGUUACCAUCACUCGGUUAAUUGCCGACGAGGCUUCCACUGGACGUGAUAACACGACAAUCAACGAAGCAACUAAUUGUUGGCAGCGAAUUCGACGUAACUGUGACAGAGUAAUUUCCAAGCAAUAACAUUGAUCGCCCAGUACCUUCGUCCUUGGGACCUUCGUGCAUAAACCAGGCGGUUGUUUUAAUGGUCAGCAUAAUUUUCGCGAUGAGAAAUUGUCGGCGACACAUCGCGUCGGGGCUUGCGUACAAGUUCUCAUACGAUCGAUGUAACCCGUGGAUAUGCUUGUAACGAAAAAAACAUGUCACACAAUUUCUCCCGGGAUUACGUGUGACCGUCACGUACUGGCAAUUACAAAAAAUAUGUCGCUUUCGUUCCACUUCGAACAGAUAAAAAUAGGUACAGAUAAAUUCGUAGUAAUGAUAAGGAAUUAUUAAUAGAGCUAAUAAAUCCAAAUAUAACGUAUUCUUUCAACCAUAUGAUCAAUUUU